UACGGAGGGUGCGAGCGUUGUCCGGAAUCAUUGGGCGUAAAGGGCGCGUAGGUGGCGGGACAAGCGUGCGGUGAAAGCUCGGGGCUCAACCCCGAGUCGGCCGUGCGAACUGUUUUGCUGGAGCACUGUAGAGGCAGGCGGAAUUCCGGGUGUAGCAGUGGAAUGCGUAGAGAUCCGGAAGAACACCGGUGGCGAAGGCGGCCUGCUGGGCAGUUGCUGACACUGAGGCGCGACAGCGUGGGGAGCAAACAGG
rnacentral:rRNA from 1 species